GAUGAACGCUGGCGGCGUGCUUAACACAUGCAAGUCGAACGGAAAGGCUCCUGCUUGCCGGGGUACUCGAGUGGCGAACGGGGGAGUAACACGUGGGGGAUCUGCACAGCACUUCGGGAUAAGCCUGGGAAAAUGGGUCUAAUACCGGAUAGGACGAUGGUUUGGAUGUCAUUGUGGAAAGUUUUUGCGGUGUGGGAUGAGCUCGCGGCCUAUCCGCUAGUUGGUGGGGUAAUGGCCUACUAAGGCGUUGGCGGGUAGCCGACCUGGGAGGGUGUACGGGCACAUUGGGACUGAGGUACGACGCAGACUCGUACGGUAGGCAGCAGGGGAGAGUAUUACACAGUAGGCGCAAGCGUGAGACGGCGACGCCGCGUGCGGGAUGACGGCCUUCUAGUUGUAAACACCUGUCUCUAGAGACGUAGCGCAAUUGACGGUACCUGAAGAAGAAGCACCGGCUAACUACGUG
rnacentral:rRNA from 1 species